rnacentral:tRNA from 1 species
GCCGAGGUGGCGGAACUGGCAGACGCGCCGGUCUCAAAAACCGGUGACCGAAAGGUCAUGAGGGUUCAACUCCCUCCCUCGGCACCA